CGCAGCGCGGAGGAUGAGGGGAGGAAGGGGCGGUGCCGUGGAUCAGAUGCCGAUUAAACCGUGAGAGGGAGCUCCCACACGCUGCCCCGCUCCGGCCUGUCUCUGCAACAUGUCAUCCCGCUUGUCAACACAGAAGUGACCAUGCAUGAAACAAACAGUGAAUUCCCAAUUAACCAUUUGGAUCAGAGGGAUACAUUGAUUUUCCUUUGUUGCAUACACGCCUUCUAAUCUCAUGCUGAUGAGGGAGAACAACAGUCAUCAGAGAUGUAGCCCCAUAAAGUGCACAUGCCAGUGGUCCCACUGCUGACCUGUCCAACAGGAAACAGAGCCUUAUCAACAGGAACAGAAGCAUCCUCACCCCGUCCUCAAAGGCUUCCAGCAGGUCUGUCUGUCGUUAAAGCUCCGAGGUGGCCAGAACUUUCAUCACUCUUCUCUGAUUAACACACGAGGGGAGAACCGAGCACCAGUCCUCAUAGCUCUUGGCAGCCCCGUGUCAAGCACCUUUGGGAGUCGCGCACAAACACACAACACACACUUCAGUGACUCUGCGGCAAAACACUCCCACUUUGGCAUUUGCUUGUUUGGAAAAGCUUUUAUAGUCUAAUGACCUGAAGUGGACUUCUUUCUGAUGACAAGGAUGCGUGUAAGUGUGUCUGCGUGUGUUUGUGUGUGUGUGUGUUUCCUGAUUUUCAAUUGGUGCAACCACAAACAGGUUCUCCAACAUGCUCACUGUUGAUUUUAUUGAGUGAAAACACACUCAAACAGAAACACCAACUGUGUCACUUACUGGUGAUGCAUGCUGAGAUCUGCUUCUUUUUAUAUCCCAUCUCUCAAACGCACAUGCACAUGCACAUGCACAUGCACGACAACACAGCGGCUGUGUUUAGACUGGGCCACCAUUCCUCUACAAAGAUACAGAUCACUGUUUUGCUUUCCCGAGCAUGAUGAAGGGGUAAUUAUAUCCAACUAGAGGGAAAACAUCAGAGAGAGAGAGAGUGACGGAGAAAGAGGAGGGGGUCAGAUCUUUUCCCUGUGACCACCAGUGGCAGCAGUGAUGGUGAGAAUGCAUUUUCUGUUUUGGUCUGAAGUCAGUCCCUGUGCCUGCCUCGUAAGUAGGUGUGUGACAGCAAGCAUUAGCGUCUGACGCACUUGUUGACCCUUUCGCUUAUGAUUUACUUUGUGUUCCCCAAGUGUCAAAGCUGCUCCACUGGCCUCAACCAAUUUGUCUGUGGCUUGUUGUCUCGGUGAAUCCUUCCAAGUGGUGUCUGGAAAAGGCAAAGUUCAGCCAUGAUCCCUGUCAGCUGGAGUGUGCAAAUACUGUGUUUUGUGCUGCAGCUGCUGGCCCGAGGCACAGCAUUUUGUUCAGGGACAAGGACAAUAAUUGUUUUUCCUUAUAAGCAUUGAGCAAGCAGAGUUGUUUGUCAUGGAUAUUUAUGAAAAACACUGACCCCAGGGGAAAAGAAAAUUGACCGCUUACUAAACCUCUCUUCUGAACAGUGAUUUUCCAAUCAAAGGGUUAACCAGUCUCUAAGGCUGAGCCCAGAAAUCCACUGUGUUCUGGCAGGAGACCAAAGCUUUGGACUGUGAGGUGCUGUUUCUAGUUCCAGCCGCACAUGGUUGCAAACCGCUCCAAUGCGUGCUGAAGGUCACGUACUGAUGAGCAGAACCACAUCAUCUGCAAAGAGCGGAAAAGCAAUUCUAAAAUCCCCAAACCUGACGCCCUCCUCACCCUGGCUGCGCCUUGACAUCUAUAAAAAUCAUAAACUAAAUCUGUGAUGAGGGACAACCCUGAUGCAGUCCAACACCCACUGAUUAUAAGGACCAGAAAAAAAGAACAACCACAUUACUCUAAACUCCUUCACUUUCCCCCCACAGGACUGACUAAAGGACAAGAUCAUAUGUCCUCAUCCAUGACCUCCUCUAAACAACCUUGAAAGGGUGAUGAGCUGGUCCGCUGUUCCAACACCCUGGCAUAAGCUUUCCCGAGAGGCUGAGUAACGUGAUACCCCAAUAACUGGUGUUCCAGUCCCUGUUUUUUGAAAUGUUAAUUUGAGAGUUAGCUGCAGCUGAUAAAAUCUGCUACCAAGACCGGUCAUUUAAGCUGGCUAGAAAGGAGAGCGUGCUUUUGCCUACUUCUGUCCGGAAAAAAAAUAACCAAGAGUUUAGUGCCAAAUGUGCCAUUGUUAUUGUUGUAAACUGUGUGAGAGAAUGGAAAUGUGCCGUGAGAGAAUGGGCAGGCUGGCAAGAGAUGGAAGAGUAAUUUAGGGGUGUGGGGCUUCACAAAUUCAAAGAAUCUUCUGUCAAGGUGAGCACCAACAACCAGACAAUGGGAUCGAGGAGAAACCGUUUUCGGAAUAAAGAUUGAAGGAGGCUGGAGGAGGAGAGGAGGAAGAUGUGUAGGGAGUGAGCUGGUGUGUCAGAACAGGAUGACUUUUUCACAGUCAGAACGCGGGGAUGUCUUUCCAGGAAAUUACUUUCACACAGUGCAAACGCCUGCCAGAUAUGCUGGAAACAUUUCCAGCAGCAAGCCCAAGAAAUUCAACCAAUUACCAAAGUAAUUUUCAAAGAAAAUCACCACUGAGCCAGCCAUGAACUGUAAUAUAUUUUCAUUUGAGACCAGAGACAUUUUCAGGUAAUGAACAACAGCCCUCUGAAAUUAUAAGUAAUGGUUUGGAAAAAGGUCUUACUCCCAAACUGUGCAGCCACAUUAGAGAGUUAUGUACUGUAUAUAAUGUGUGUACUUACAGGAAUAGUCGUGUUUUAGGUGAGUUUUAUUGCAAUUGCUGCUACUUGAUCCUAUAAACAUGCGUGGAUUAAGCUAAAACAGACUGAUCUCAUCCUUCAGCGUGCCAUGAAUAGUGCACGCUGAGACAUUAAGAAAGCAGACUUGACUUCUUCUCACUGGUAAAGCAGGAAAAGAGUGAAAUCCCCCAAAAAAUCCAGCUAUGCCUUUGAGUGUCCCAGUGUCCUGUGUGUGAGUUUUGGACACCAGAGCAGACGAUCUUCCUGCCAACAGUCUGUUUAUGAAGCCCAGAUUUCUCACUUUCAAACAAAA